CAGGCUUAACACAUGCAAGUCGAGGGGCAGCAUUCUUCUAUCAAUAGAAGAGAUGGCGACCGGCGCACGGGUGAGUAACACGUAUCCAACCUGCCGAUGACUCUGGAAUAGCCUUUCGAAAGAAAGAUUAAUACCGGAUAGUAUACGAAUAUCGCAUGAUAUUUUUAUUAAAGAAUUUCGGUUAUCGAUGGGGAUGCGUUCCAUUAGUUUGUUGGCGGGGUAACGGCCCACCAAGACUACGAUGGAUAGGGGUUCUGAGAGGAAGGUCCCCCACAUUGGAACUGAGACACGGUCCAAACUCCUACGGGAGGCAGCAGUGAGGAAUAUUGGUCAAUGGGCGCAGGCCUGAACCAGCCAAGUAGCGUGAAGGAUGAAGGCUCUAUGGGUCGUAAACUUCUUUUAUAUGGGAAUAAAGUUUUCCACGUGUGGAAUUUUGUAUGUACCAUAUGAAUAAGGAUCGGCUAACUCCGUGCCAGCAGCCGCGGUAAUACGGAGGAUCCGAGCGUUAUCCGGAUUUAUUGGGUUUAAAGGGAGCGUAGGUGGAUUGUUAAGUCAGUUGUGAAAGUUUGCGGCUCAACCGUAAAAUUGCAGUUGAAACUGGUAGUCUUGAGUACAGUAGAGGUGGGCGGAAUUCGUGGUGUAGCGGUGAAAUGCUUAGAUAUCACGAAGAACUCCGAUUGCGAAGGCAGCUCACUAGACUGUAACUGACACUGAUGCUCGAAAGUGUGGGUAUCAAACAGGAUUAGAUACCCUGGUAGUCCACACAGUAAACGAUGAAUACUCGCUGUUUGCGAUAUACAGUAAGCGGCCAAGCGAAAGCAUUAAGUAUUCCACCUGGGGAGUACGCCGGCAACGGUGAAACUCAAAGGAAUUGACGGGGGCCCGCACAAGCGGAGGAACAUGUGGUUUAAUUCGAUGAUACGCGAGGAACCUUACCCGGGCUUAAAUUGCAACAGAAUAUAUUGGAAACAGUAUAGCCGUAAGGCUGUUGUGAAGGUGCUGCAUGGUUGUCGUCAGCUCGUGCCGUGAGGUGUCGGCUUAAGUGCCAUAACGAGCGCAACCCUUAUCUUUAGUUACUAACAGGUCAUGCUGAGGACUCUAGAGAGACUGCCGUCGUAAGAUGUGAGGAAGGUGGGGAUGACGUCAAAUCAGCACGGCCCUUACGUCCGGGGCUACACACGUGUUACAAUGGGGGGUACAGAAGGCAGCUACACGGCGACGUGAUGCUAAUCCCAAAAACCUCUCUCAGUUCGGAUCGAAGUCUGCAACCCGACUUCGUGAAGCUGGAUUCGCUAGUAAUCGCGCAUCAGCCAUGGCGCGGUGAAUACGUUCCCGGGCCUUGUACACACCGCCCGUCAAGCCAUGAAAGCCGGGGGUACCUGAAGUACGUAACCGCAAGGAGCGUCCUAGGGUAAAACUGGUAAUUGG
rnacentral:rRNA from 1 species